UUCAAAUUCACUGUGUUGAUUGGCUGCUGUAUGCCUCUGUUCUUUCUCUAUGAGUCUUUCUUCAAAAGCCUGUCAGCUAUAGAGCCUUUUUUUUAAUAUUGAACACUGCAUUCUGAGUAGGAGCAUCUAUUUUAUCUAUGCCACAAAGACCUGCAUGUGGACCUCGUACAGAGAACUGAGAAUCACCUAGAGAACUUGAUUUUGAGCUGGAAAUAGCGAGCAGCUGCUGAUGAGCCCUGGAAGUCUGCAUUUCUAAAAUGCUCUUUCGGUUAGACUGGGAAUACACAACUGCGUUAUUCCAGAUACAAGAUUUCUUCAGUUUUAAAUGACAGAGGCAGAGGCAGAGACAGAGACAGAGACUGAGAGACAGAAAGAGAAACACUUAUUGCCAGUCUUCUGACCGUAUUUCCCCAAUCAUCCAACAUUAGUGGGACCUGAGUGACUUCUAAAUACUAGUAUCUGCGUCAAUACUGAGAUAGUUUCCUGGAUGUGCCUGGGACCACCAUGCAUAUGUGCAUAGAAGAUGAAAAUACCAGAGAAGUAAUCCUCUCCCGACAGGACCAUACUGAGUUUCCUGUUGUUACGAUUCAGAUCAAGAAUGUGCCCUCAAAGCCUGGUGGGCUCAGUGGUGGUGCCUUUGGAAGCUGAGGUCAUGGGGGUGCUGUAGCUGGCUGGCCACUAGGAGGGGGCCCUGCUCUGAGGAGGCGAUAAUGUAUUUAUCUUCAUCUGAGGCCAGCGUUUUCUCUAAAAGAACUUUUUGCACCUUUCAGGCAUCACAAUUGCCUACAGCUAGAGGAAAAACCAGCCAGCCCCUCCUUCAUCUUUCUGUCUUUAAAGAAAUAGUAGUUGUAGAAAAAUAACCAGGAGGCUAAGAGCUGGAAGCUAGUUCUCCCUGUUAUCAUUGUUUAUGGGAACAACCAGGUAGUAUUAAUUUGUCACCUGGUGAUGUUAAUUACCAGAGAAGCAUUCGGGUUGUUUCCUUUUUUCUGAGCUCUCAGCUUGAUUCCUGAGGUUUCAGCAUGGAGUCAGGAAGCAUUUAAUGGAAAGUUAAUCAGCCAAAUCCUCCCAGUUCAGAAGUUAUUCCCUGGUCUUGGCCCAUGCCUGGAACACCAGGGUAUUCGUAUAAAGUAGGGAAACAAUUAUUUACAGAAUGCUUCCCCGAGGGGCUGAAAGAAGUAAUAACCCUCAAAUGAGACCUUCUGGAGUCCUUUGGAGCCACUUACACACCACAGAUAGAAAAUCCUGACUCAUUAUGUUUUUAAAGAUUUGUUUAUUCUUGUCAAUGGAAAAUAUACAAAAAGAAGUGAUUGUCUUUGAGGAGCCAAUGAAGAAGAUUUUUAAAACUCAUUUAACCACAGUAAAACCCUGUCUGUAAUGUCAUAAAAUGAUAUGAUAUAUAAAGAAACAGGUAAUCGGGAUUUGAUUUAAAUGUUGAUAUUACGACUCUUAAUGGUUACUUAACGAAGUAUCUGGAAAUUGAUUUGCUAAGAUAAUUCUCAUUUAUUAAUUUGAAGUGUCUUGCACAGCAUCUGGUAUUAGAAACAGGGAAAUCUGCUUGCCAUCUGGAGAAGAUUCUGGUGGCUUUGCGGAGAAUGGUGGUCUCCAUCAGAGAUUACAAUUUCCAAUUGCCUGGGUGGCUAAACUGGUUUUGGGUAGGACUCAAGCUUUGGGGUCCAUCUGGUCUGAUGUUCCUCUGCACCUAGAUAAAACACUUCCUUUUUUUUAACUCUGAAGUGAUCCAUGUAUAAUUUAGACAAAAUGAUACCAACUACACUGUGUUGAUUUUUUUUCCUGAACAUUUAAAAAUGAAUCCAUGUCCCACCCCAGCUACUCAGCCUCACUAGAAUAAUCACUCAUCCCUCAUUGAGGAAUGAAUCUUUUUUCCUAGUCUUCAGUCACUUCCAUGGUGUUCUUUCUAAACUCAUUUCUAUGCUAUAACUGAAUAUAAUUAUAAAAAUUAAUUAAAAGCAUCUGUGUACCAUCAGGAGCUUAAAUGUUUAUAGUGGAUCACCCAGUACUUAAAUGUAUGAAACCCCUUCUCAUCUGCUUCCUGAUAACUUCAUCUCCUAUGAUUCCUCACCUAAGUUCUGCCUGCCAGCCAUGUGAAACUUCCACAGCUUGCUCAGAUGUGACAAAUGACUGAAACAAACUUUCAUAUUAGAAAUUUUCUUUUUCCUGGAAAUGUCCUCUGGUGCUUGUUGUCUGUUUACCUGCUUUUUAGUUUUUCAGGAUCAGAA